UAGGGAAUCUUCGGCAAUGGGGGCAACCCUGACCGAGCAACGCCGCGUGAGUGAAGAAGGUUUUCGGAUCGUAAAGCUCUGUUGUAAGAGAAGAACGUGUGUGAGAGUGGAAAGUUCACACAGUGACGGUAUCUAACCAGCAAGUCACGGCUAACUACGUGCCAA
rnacentral:rRNA from 1 species